AAUAUCUCACGAUGACUGCCGAAGACAGCAGGUGCGUAAGCGUAAGUAGACAAACGCCUGCCGAGGAAAGUUGGAUUCUGUUAUUAUGAAUUACAAUGCCUCUAUGUCUUUGGAUAUAGAGGCUUUUUAGCAUAUAGC
rfam:Lachnospiraceae bacterium 5_1_57FAA genomic scaffold supercont1.20, whole genome shotgun sequence.